GAGACCCUGUCUCAAAACAAAAUAAAAAAAGUGUAUGAGACAGUAUUAUAGUAUAUAAGCUCAACUAUGUAAAAAUGUAUUUGCGUAGAAAACAAAAGUAGAUGAAAAUUUGCCAGUAUAUUCAUAAUAGUUUAUAAGUUGAAAGUAUUAUGGGGUGAUUUUGUUUUUUGCCUUAUACUUUUUCUGUUUUUUUUCUGGAUUGCCUACAGUG
rnacentral:lncRNA from 10 species